UACGUAGGGGGCAAGCGUUGUCCGGAAUUAUUGGGCGUAAAGAGCGUGUAGGCGGUCCGGUAAGUCAGCUGUGAAAGUCAAGGGCUCAACCCUUGAAUGCCGGUUGAUACUGUCGGGCUAGAGUCCGGAAGAGGCGAGUGGAAUUCCUGGUGUAGCGGUGAAAUGCGCAGAUAUCAGGAGGAACACCGGUGGCGAAGGCGGUUCUCUGGGCAUUACCUGACGCUGAGGAGCGAAAGUGUGGGGAGCGAACAGG
rnacentral:rRNA from 1 species